rnacentral:rRNA from 1 species
CCUUUAGUACGGCGAGUGAGCGGCAAAGCUCAAAUUUGAAAUCUGGUACCUUUGGUGCCCGAGUUGUAAUUUGGAGAGUACCACUUUGGGACUGUACUUUGCCUAUGUUCCUUGGAACAGGACGUCAUGGAGGGUGAGAAUCCCGUGUGGCGAGGGUGUCAGUUCUUUGUAAAGGGUGCUCGAAGAGUCGAGUUGUUUGGGAAUGCAGCUCUAAGUGGGUGGUAAAUUCCAUCUAAAGCUAAAUACAGGCGAGAGACCGAUAGCGAACAAGUACAGUGAUGGAAAGAUGAAAAGAACUUUGAAAAGAGAGUGAAAAAGUACGUGAAAUUGUUGAAAGGGAAGGGCAUUUGAUCAGACAUGGUGUUUUGCGCCCCUUGCCUCUCGUGGGCUUGGGACUCUCGCAGCUCACUGGGCCAGCAUCGGUUUUGGCGGCCGGAAAAAACCUAGGGAAUGUGGCUCUGCGCCUCGGUGUAGAGUGUUAUAGCCCUG